rnacentral:rRNA from 1 species
GAUCCUGGCUCAGGAUGAACGCUGGCGGCGUGCUUAACACAUGCAAGUCGAGCGAAGCACUUUACUUAGAUUUCUUCGGGAUGAAGAGUAUUGUGACUGAGCGGCGGACGGGUGAGUAACGCGUGGGUAACCUGCCUCAUACAGGGGGAUAACAGUUAGAAAUGACUGCUAAUACCGCAUAAGACCACAGCACCCGCAUAGUGCAGAGGUAAAACUCGGUGUAUGAGAUGGGACCCG